rnacentral:snRNA from 1 species
GGACGUGAGGGCAAUCUGGCUGCAACAUCUGUCACCUCAUUGAUCGCCAGGGUUGAUUCAGCGGCUCUGGCUGGCUAGGUGAGUGUCCCCUUCUUCCCUCACCACUCCACAUGCAUCCCUCCAAAGCUUCAUGCUUGGUGGAAGGGGGUAUUCAAGUAGCUGGGCUCCCCGUUAGAUCCUCCAAACCAGCUCUCAGUGAAGCCUUCCCUGGUCCUCCCCCAUCCCACUCCACCCCCCCAUUGUG